rnacentral:rRNA from 1 species
GACGAACGCUGGCGGCGUGCUUAACACAUGCAAGUCGAGCGGAGCGGCGAACGGGUGAGUAACGCGUGAGUAACUGCCCCCCUCUCUGGGAUAACAGUUGGAAACGGAUGCUAAUACCGGAUAGUGGGGGAUGACUCGCGUCCUAUCAGCUUGUUGGGGGGGUAGUGGCCUACCAAGGCGACGACGGGUAGCCGGCCUGAGAGGGAGACCGGGCAAGUGUGGCUUGGAUACGGCCCAAACUCCUACGGUAGGCAGCAGUGGGUAAUAGUGCACAAUGGGGGAAACUCUGAGGCAGCAACGCCGCGUGCGGGAUGACGGCCUUGGGGGUGUAAACCGCUUUCAGCCAUGACGCGGUAGUGGCAGAAGAAGCACCGGCUAACUACGUGCCAGCAGCCGCGGUAAUUC